ACCAGAGAGAACACAGCAAGAGAACUGCCACCUGCAAGCCAGGAAGAGGACCCUCCCCAGAAACGGAAUCAGCUGGUACAAUGAUCUUGGACUUCUCGGCCUCCAGAACUGUAUGUGUGUGACUAGCUAGGUCCAGCAUGGCAUUAGCUAAGGUUUUUCUGGAGAAACAGAGCCAAUAUGAUAUACACAGAUGUGUAAGAGGAGGCUUAUUAUGAGAAGUGGCUCAUGUGAACACAGAGGAUGAGAAACCCCGUGGUCUGCUGAUUUGACAUCUGUGAGCUGCAGAACCAGCAGAACUGAUGACGUAAUUCAGUUGGAGUCUGAAGUUCUGAGAGCCAGGGAUUAGAGGUAUUGUAGCUGAUGCUGGUGAUGUUCUGUAUGACCGCCCCAGACUGGAUUUCAGCACUGCUAUGUGGAUAGCUCCACACACCUAUGACCCCAUUACAAACUGCAGAUGACACUGCCGCUCUUGCCCAUCAGCUUUCUCAGAUGCUGCUCAAAGCUGUUCAGCCAUGCACUCGUAAAACCCAGAGCACAGUGAAGUCAAUGCCUCCAGGGAAAGCUCAGCCAACAGUGGGUGGGAGUUGGUGGAUAAAUAACCAACCUCUCCAUCCUGUGUUGGAGAAACUAUACGUGGUUUCUAGAUGAUUCCCAUUGGGUUUGAGCUCCAGUUGUCUAUGGCAGAUUAAUAACUUGAUUUUAUUCCAUGAAUCACUUUUUGCUUCUUGGCAUUACCACCCAAAGUAAACUUUCUGUGAAAAUUUCUUUUAAUCAGAGUUUCUUGGGAAUCAGAUUGACAAAAUUUAUCUUGAAAGUGACCCUAUGAAGCGGACCUUCAAGAUAGGAUUCUGAAAUUGGAUUGCCUCAUGGUUAUAUGAAUGUAAAAAUCCUGCCAUUGGAAAUCAGUGGGCUGGUUAUCAGCCCUGACCUGUUGCAUUACAAUAACCAAGACUCUCAACUGGGGAAGAUUUGGAUGAGGUCCAGGUGAAAGUGAGGGCACUGAUUUAUGCAACAACUCUAGCAAUUAAAAGGAAUGGGCCUGAUGGCUCAUGCCCAUAAUCCCAGCACUUUGGGAUACUGUAGAAAGAUGGGUGAAGCCAUGUCAUGGAGAACCUUGAAGGCCUUUUCACGCUGUUCCUGCCUUAUCUUCAGACCAUGGGAAUCCUUUAUGUUUUCCAUGAGUAGUACAAUGUCACAGGUUGAGUCCUCUGGAACACAGAUGCUGAGAUUUGCAUUAAGGAAGUUCAGUGAGGGGAGGUGAUGGUCUAUCGUGAACAAUACCUGUGAAUUGUGAAGGGAACAGGAUUUAGUGGAAGAAGAAAUCACAACACAGGCCUCAGGUAGACUAAGAAUUGUCCACACUGAGUCAUGGCAGACAGGUCUUUGUACUCCUACAUCAAACCAUCAUUGGAUGCAAGCUGUCUCCAAGAAGAAGGGGUGGCCUUAGGUGAGUCAUCUCCCUCUGGUCCAGAGUAACUCCUGGACCUGUGAUACAUCCAGCUGGAGGAAUAAGCACCUUGUUCUCAAAGAGGGAUCUGGGCAGCACACACUGCAGGGCUGAAGCUAUCAGAGCCAAGAGGCCACUCUAGGUGGGUGCCACUCUAGAUGGGUGUCACUCUAGAUGAUGGCAGAUUGUUACACGUCCAUGAUGAGAUUAAGAGCUUGUAAUCAAAAUGUAAAGCAACACAAUGCCUCCUUCAUUGAGUCUUGCAAUAAACAAAAAGAAGAUGAAACUGAAUGUGUGUUUAAUGGCAUUGACUUAAGCUCCAGUACUAACGGCUUGUGAACUGGCACCAGUCAGCAAGCCACACUUUGAGUAGUUCUGCUACAGCCUAUAUUCCUGUCCUGUAGUAAAAUCACUCUGGGUCUUUUCCUUAUCAGCUACAUUUGUGAGGUUAACCUUCCUCAU